CAUGGUCUAAAUAUUAGAGGCUAACAAGAUACUUGUAUGUUUAUAUAUAUAAUAUAUAUCUAUAUAUUAAUAUUAAAUUAAUUAAAUAUUAAACCAAUGCAUUUCAAUCGGGAGAUUGUUUUCGACUUCAGAAGGGCUGCGAGGUGCACGCUCUCGCCCCCCAUAUCGUUCUAUUUCCCACAGUUUAGACUUGUAAUUAAUACGUUUCUUUUGUGUUCAACGUGACUCCUUUAAUUUUUUUUUAUCACUGUCAGGUGGCUAGUAGGCCGAGGCUAUAACGUCAAUCUCAUAAUGUAUGUUAUCACAGUCAAAAGCUGUGUGCGCCUCCAGACGAUAUUAUGAAUCUAAAUAAAUAGUAAUAGCAUAUCGAAAUGGUAUUUGUGAGGGGGGGGGAGAGAGAGAGAGAGAGAGAGGGAAUAGAGAGAGAGAGAGAGAGAGAGAGAGAGAGAGAGAGAGAGAGAGAGAGAGAGAGAGAGAGAGAGAGAGAGAGAGAGAGAGAUGGAGAGAGAGAGAGAGAGAGAGAGAGAUGGAGAGAGAGGGGGAGAGAGAGAGAGAGAGAGAGAGAGAGAGAGAGAGAGAGAGAGAGAGAGAGAGAGACAGACAGACAGACAGACAGACAGACAGACAGACAGACAGACAGACAGACAGACAGACAGACAGACAGACAGAGAGAGAAAGUGUGUCCGGCCGUCUGUCUGUGGUUUCUUUCUACAACCGACACAGAGACAAUGAGGCACUCCCCCCCCUCCCCAACCAAAACCCAGGGAGGAGGUCCAAUAAUAUCGGAAAAACAUUUGUUGUUCUAUUAAUAAUUUGGUAACACUUUAUAAUAAGGUGCCAUAAUAAAUAGCAAACUAGUCAUUACUUAACCCUUUGUUAAUAUUCGUUAAUUGUUACUAGAAUAUCUAUUUGGCACAAGUUAAUAGUUUUUCCAUCAUUAAUUAAAUAUUAGUUAUUUGCAUACAAUCUGUAUGUUAAUGUUUUAACAAAUAGAAAACAAUAUAUUAACUAAUAUUGUAUUAAUAUUUAUUAAUAGUUAACUAAAUGUAUUUUUGGCACUAAUUAACAGUUAUUUCUUAAUUAUUUAAAUGUUAAAUGUUUAUUUACAAACUAUAUGUUAAUAUAAA
rnacentral:lncRNA from 1 species